rnacentral:rRNA from 1 species
UACGUAGGCAGCGAGCGUUGUUCGGAGUUACUGGGCGUAAAGAGUGCGUAGGCGGUCUUCUAAGUUUGGUGUGAAAUCUCCCGGCUCAACUGGGAGGGUGCGCCGAAUACUGAAUGACUUGGAGUGCGGGAGAGGAAAGUGGAAUUCCUGGUGUAGCGGUGAAAUGCGUAGAUAUCAGGAGGAACACCGGUGGUGUAGACGGCUUUCUGGACCGUAACUGACGCUGAGACACGAAAGCGUGGGUAGCAAACAGG